CAGUCGCCACGAGAAUACGAAGGGGGCUAGCGUUGUUCGGAAUUACUGGGCGUAAAGCGUACGUAGGCGGAUUGUUAAGUGAGGGGUGAAAUCCCGAGGCUCAACCUCGGAACUGCCUUUCAUACUGGCAAUCUUGAGUCCGGGAGAGGUGAGUGGAACUCCUAGUGUAGAGGUGAAAUUCGUAGAUAUUAGGAAGAACACCAGUGGCGAAGGCGGCUCACUGGCCCGGAACUGACGCUGAGGUACGAAAGCGUGGGGAGCAAACAGGAUUAGAUACCCCCGUAGUCCCUGUCUCUUAUAC
rnacentral:rRNA from 1 species